rnacentral:rRNA from 1 species
GAACAAGCGAAUAAGUGCACAUGGUGGAUGCCUUGGCGAUGUCAGGCGAUGAAGGACGUAGUAGCUUGCGAUAAGCCGCGGGGAGCUAGCAAACAAGCUUUGAUCCGCGGAUUUCCGAAUGGGGAAACCCACCCGCAAGGGUAUCGUUAUCUGAAUACAUAGGGUAACGAAGCGAACGUGGCGAACUGAAACAUCUAAGUAGCUACAGGAAAAGAAAUCAACCGAGAUUCCCAAAGUAGUGGCGAGCGAAAUGGGACCAGCCUGCAAGAUUUAGCAUCAUUGAUAGUGGAACGGAAUGGAAAGUCCGGCCAUAGAGGGUGAUAGCCCCUUACACGAAAUCAUUGGUGUGGAACUAGGCUUGCGACAAGUAGGGCGGGACACGUGAAAUCCUGUCUGAACAUGGGGGGACCAUCCUCCAAGGCUAAAUACUCGACACGACCGAUAGUGAACCAGUACCGUGAGGGAAAGGCGAAAAGAACCCCGGAGAGGGGAGUGAAAUAGACCCUGAAACCGUGUGCGUACAAGCAGUAGGAGCCCGCAAGGGUGACUGCGUACCUUUUGUAUAAUGGGUCAGCGACUUACAUUCAGUGGCAAGCUUAACCGAAUAGGGAAGGCGUAGAGAAAUCGAGUCCGAAUAGGGCGUUCAGUCGCUGGGUGUAGACCCGAAACCAAGUGAUCUAUCCAUGGCCAGGUUGAAGGUGCGGUAACACGCACUGGAGGACCGAACCCACUAAUGUUGAAAAAUUAGGGGAUGAGCUGUGGAUAGGGGUGAAAGGCUAAACAAACUUGGAAAUAGCUGGUUCUCUCCGAAAACUAUUUAGGUAGUGCCUCAAGUAUCACCAUCGGGGGUAGAGCACUGUUAUGGCUAGGGGGUCAUCGCGACUUACCAAACCAUUGCAAACUCCGAAUACCGAUGAGUGCGAGCUUGGGAGACAGACGUCGGGUGCUAACGUCCGGCGUCAAGAGGGAAACAACCCAGACCGCCAGCUAAGGUCCCAAAGAUUGGCUAAGUGGAAAACGAAGUGGGAAGGCUAAAACAGUCAGGAGGUUGGCUUAGAAGCAGCCAUCCUUUAAAGAAAGCGUAAUAGCUCACUGAUCGAGUCGUCCUGCGCGGAAGAUGUAACGGGGCUAAGCCAGUCACCGAAGCUGCGGAUAUCCGUAAGGAUAUGGUAGGAGAGCGUUCUGUAAGCCUGUGAAGGUGUCUUGUAAAGGAUGCUGGAGGUAUCAGAAGUGCGAAUGCUGACAUGAGUAGCGAUAAUGCGGGUGAAAGGCCCGCACGCCGUAAGCCCAAGGUUUCCUGUUCAACGUUCAUCGGAGCAGGGUGAGUCGGCCCCUAAGGCGAGGCAGAGAUGCGUAGCUGAUGGGAAGCAGGUUAAUAUUCCUGCACCGUCGUUAGAUGCGAUGGGGGGACGGAUCGCGGAAGGUUGUCCGGGUGUUGGAUGUCCCGGUUCCUGUAUCAGAGAAGGCUGUUAGGCAAAUCCGGCAGCGUAAUUCAAGGGUAUGGGACGAGCGAACUUGUUCGCGAAGCAAUCGGAAGUGGUUCCAAGAAAAGCCUCUAAGCUUCAGUCUAACGAGACCGUACCGCAAACCGACACAGGUGGGCGAGAUGAGUAUUCUAAGGCGCUUGAGAGAACUCGGGAGAAGGAACUCGGCAAAUUGGUACCGUAACUUCGGGAUAAGGUACGCCCAAGUAGUUUGACUGGCCUGCGCCAGAAGGACGAAAGGGUUGCAAUAAAAUGGUGGCUGCGACUGUUUAAUAAAAACACAGCACUCUGCAAACACGAAAGUGGACG